GGGCCCGCACAAGCGGUGGAGCAUGUGGUUUAAUUCGACGCAACGCGAAGAACCUUACCUACACUUGACAUCCUCGGAACUUUCUAGAGAUAGAUUGGUGCCUUCGGGAACCGAGUGACAGGUGCUGCAUGGCUGUCGUCAGCUCGUGUCGUGAGAUGUUGGGUUAAGUCCCGUAACGAGCGCAACCCUUAUCCUUAAUUGCCAGCGGUUAGGCCGGGAACUCUAAGGAGACUGCCGAUGACAAAUCGGAGGAAGGUGGGGACGACGUCAAGUCAUCAUGGCCCUUACGUGUAGGGCUACACACGUGCUACAAUGGCCGGUACAAACGGUUGCGAACCCGCGAGGGGAAGCUAAUCCGAGAAAGCCGGUCGUAGUCCGGAUUGGGGUCUGCAACUCGACCCCAUGAAGUCGGAAUCGCUAGUAAUCGU
rnacentral:rRNA from 1 species